rnacentral:snoRNA from 1 species
AUGAGGAUAGGCGGGCUUUUCUGAGACGUGUGAUGAGUGCGGUCGUAUCCGA